rnacentral:rRNA from 1 species
CCGGCAAUAGUUCGGUAUGGUAUGAGGACUCUUCGGAGGGAGGCAGUGGAAUGAGCGGCGGACGGGUGAGUAACACGUAAGGAACCUGCCUCAAGGAUUGGGAUAACUCCGAGAAAUCGGAGCUAAUACCGGAUAGUUCAUCGGACCGCAUGGUCCGUUGAUGAAAGGCGCUCCGGCGUCACCUUGAGAUGGCCUUGCGGUGCAUUAGCUAGUUGGUGGGGUAACGGCCCACCAAGGCGACGAUGCAUAGCCGACCUGAGAGGGUGAUCGGCCACACUGGGACUGAGACACGGCCCAGACUCCUACGGGAGGCAGCAGUAGGGAAUCUUCCACAAUGGACGAAAGUCUGAUGGAGCAACGCCGCGUGAGUGAUGAAGGUUUUCGGAUCGUAAAACUCUGUUGUAAGGGAAGAACACGUACGAGAGGGAAUGCUCGUACCUUGACGGUACCUUACGAGAAAGCCACGGCUAACUACGUGCCAGCAGCCGCGGUAAU